rnacentral:rRNA from 1 species
UACGUAGGGUGCAAGCGUUAUCCGGAAUUAUUGGGCGUAAAGAGCUCGUAGGCGGUCUGUCGCGUCUGCUGUGAAAACCCGAGGCUCAACCUCGGGCUUGCAGUGGGUACGGGCAGACUAGAGUGCGGUAGGGGAGACUGGAAUUCCUGGUGUAGCGGUGGAAUGCGCAGAUAUCAGGAGGAACACCGAUGGCGAAGGCAGGUCUCUGGGCCGCAACUGACGCUGAGGAGCGAAAGCAUGGGGAGCGAACAGG